rfam:Oryza meridionalis cultivar OR44 (W2112) chromosome 3, whole genome shotgun sequence.
UUUAAACGUAGCCAUGAGUUUUCAUAUCCAAAUUUGAUUGUUCGUCAUUUGAAUUUUUUAUGAUUAAUAUUUUUAGUGUUAUUAGAUGAUAAAAACAUAAAUAGUACUAUUAUGCGUGACUUAUUUUUUAAAAUAUUUUUAAAAAUUUCAAAUAAGACGAACGAUUAAAAUUGGACACGAAAACUCAUGGCUGCGUUAAAA